UUUAGAAUUAAGAUAAUAAUAUAUUACUUGUGAAUCAGACUUCCAAAUAUUUUAAUCAAUUAUAUUUUAUUAUAUUGUUUUCAAACUAUAUUUUCAAUGUUUUCAUUGUUUUCAACAGUUUAUAAUGUUGACGUAAAUGAUUUGUAUUAACUAUACCGUGUGAUUUAUUUCAAAUGGUCACAACUUGUUCAGUUAAAGGCUGUAAAUCCAAAGCUGGCCAAGGGAUUAAGUUUCACAGGUAUUUUAUUUGCAAAAUGUUGAUCUCACUUUUUGAUAAGUUCAAAAAAUUUGGUAGCGCUGUGUACCUAGAGACUUCCUAAAGGCGAAAUUCGAGAAUUAUGGAUUACAUUCCUCAAGAAAUACAAUCCUCUGUUCAUGCCAACAAGUCGUAGCACCAAUGUUUGUGGGCUACAUUUUUUAUCUGAUUUGGACUAUGAAGUUACACCUACCAGCAUUUAUCAAACUAAGCGUUUAAAAAAAAAUGCUGUACCUAGUAUUAUGAACCAAAAUGUCUGUAUAUCAUUAUUUAAUAAGUCGAAUCAGGAAUUGAACUGUGUUCCUGAUCAUGAAAUUGUGACAUUAUCAUUGUCAGAUUUAUACGCUGAACCCAAUGUACCACCUAAUAUACCUUUUGACAUAUUAAUAAAAAAUAUUGUAUUGUCAAAACCCUCUAUUCAAAAUGUAAGUACAGUUUCACCUGCGCCUGUUAUUCAAAAUAAAGUCGAAAUUCCAAGUGUACUUGUUUCUGUUCAAAAUGCAAGUAUAGAUUCACCUGCACCCGUUAUUCAAAGUAGAAAUGAAACUCCAAAUAUACAAAGCACAAGUGAAGAAAAUUUACGAAGACUAAAUAAUAAAAGAAAGUGUUUUAUGGGCGAUUUUAAACAACUAAGUGAUAUAGAUAGNCCGAAUAGUAGAUUAAAAUAUUGGAUUGCUUCUCAGUCAACUGUAAAUAAACAAAACAAAAAAAUUAAGUUAUUAUAUAAACAAACAGCAGAAUUGAAAAAAAAAGUUAAGAAAUUAGACAAUUUAAUAGAUCAACUAAAAAGUGAAAGAAAAAAGGAUUCAAACAAUUGCAUUACAGUUCUUAAGGAAUUAAUAUUAUCAUCGAGUCAACAUGAAAUUUAUAUGUCUAUGUGUAAACCAAUUUGAUGUUUUAUCAGUUUAUUUAAAGCACAAGACUAAGGGAAAUUCAAAUCUGUAAAUAUGACUAUACUAUACAAAAAUUGUCCGUAACAUCUUCAAAAUCAUUGUUUAACGGGAGAUUCUAUCAAUCAAUCUCUAUGAAGAUUUCAAUAGAUGGGACUGAUAUGGUUGUUCACACUAUUUCUAUUUCCUUUUUAUCCUCAUAGAA
rnacentral:misc_RNA from 1 species